UUACGAGGAGGAUAGCAGCUCGAAAGGGCUAUUAAUACUCCAUAGGUUUAUAAACUAAAUUAAAGAGGCUCCCUCCGGGGCCUUGCGUAAAACUAGGAAUAUGUCCUAUUAGGUAGUUGGCGGGGUAAAGGCCCACCAAGCCAAUGAUGGGUAGCUGGACUGAGAGGUUGAACAGCCGCAAUGGGAUUGAGAUAUGGCCCAUAUUCCUACGGGAAGCAGCAGUGAGGAAUUUUUCACAAUGGACGAAAGUCUGAUGGAGCAAUACCACGUGAACGAUGAAGGUCUUCUGAUUGUAAAGUUCUUUUAUUUAGGAAAAAAAGCGUGCUAGGAAAUGAGUGCGCCUUGAUGGUACUAAUUGAAUAAGUGACAGCUAACUAUGUGCCAGCAGCUGCGGUAAAACAUAGGUCACGAGCAUUAUCCGGAUUUAUUGGGCGUAAAGGAAGCGUAGGCGGGGAGGUUGAUCCAUUGUUAAAAGCAUUUGCUUAACAAAUGUGUGCAUUGGAGAUCGCCUCCCUAGAGUUAAUCAGGGGGUACUGGAAUUCAAUGUGUAGCGGUGGAAUGCGUAGAUAUAUUGAGGAACACCAGAGGCUAAGGCGAGUGCCUAGGAUAUAACUGACGCUGAGGCUUGAAAGCGUGGGGAGCAAAUGGGAUUAGAUACCCCAGUAGUCCACGCCGUAAACGAUGAGCAUUGGGCAUUUGACAUCUGGUCGAGUGCUGUAGCUAACGCGUUAAAUGCUCCGCCUGGGUAGUAUAUAUGCAAAUAUGAAACUCAAAGAAAUUGACGGGGACCUG
rnacentral:rRNA from 1 species